GCGAUACAGGGUGACAGCCCCGUACACAAAAAUGCACAUGCUGUGAGCUCGAUGAGUAGGGCGGGACACGUGGUAUCCUGUCUGAAUAUGGGGGGACCAUCCUCCAAGGCUAAAUACUCCUGACUGACCGAUAGUGAACCAGUACCGUGAGGGAAAGGCGAAAAGAACCCCGGCGAGGGGAGUGAAAAAGAACCUGAAACCGUGUACGUACAAGCAGUGGGAGCACGCUUAGGCGUGUGACUGCGUACCUUUUGUAUAAUGGGUCAGCGACUUAUAUUCUGUAGCAAGGUUAACCGAAUAGGGGAGCCGAAGGGAAACCGAGUCUUAACUGGGCGUUAAGUUGCAGGGUAUAGACCCGAAACCCGGUGAUCUAGCCAUGGGCAGGUUGAAGGUUGGGUAACACUAACUGGAGGACCGAACCGACUAAUGUUGAAAAAUUAGCGGAUGACUUGUGGCUGGGGGUGAAAGGCCAAUCAAACCGGGAGAUAGCUGGUUCUCCCCGAAAGCUAUUUAGGUAGCGCCUCGUGAAUUCAUCUCCGGGGGUAGAGCACUGUUUCGGCAAGGGGGUCAUCCCGACUUACCAACCCGAUGCAAACUGCGAAUACCGGAGAAUGUUAUCACGGGAGACACACGGCGGGUGCUAACGUCCGUCGUGAAGAGGGAAACAACCCAGACCGCCAGCUAAGGUCCCAAAGUCAUGGUUAAGUGGGAAACGAUGUGGGAAGGCCCAGACAGCCAGGAUGUUGGCUUAGAAGCAGCCAUCAUUUAAAGAAAGCGUAAUAGCUCACUGGUCGAGUCGGCCUGCGCGGAAGAUGUAACGGGGCUAAACCAUGCACCGAAGCUGCGGCAGCGACGCUGAUGCGUUGUUGGGUAGGGGAGCGUUCUGUAAGCCUGCGAAGGUGUGCUGUGAGGCAUGCUGGAGGUAUCAGAAGUGCGAAUGCUGACAUAAGUAACGAUAAAGCGGGUGAAAAGCCCGCUCGCCGGAAGACCAAGGGUUCCUGUCCAACGUUAAUCGGGGCAGGGUGAGUCGACCCCUAAGGCGAGGCCGAAAGGCGUAGUCGAUGGGAAACAGGUUAAUAUUCCUGUACUUGGUGUUACUGCGAAGGGGGGACGGAGAAGGCUAUGUUGGCCGGGCGACGGUUGUCCCGGUUUAAGCGUGUAGGCUGGUUUUCCAGGCAAAUCCGGAAAAUCAAGGCUGAGGCGUGAUGACGAGGCACUACGGUGCUGAAGCAACAAAUGCCCUGCUUCCAGGAAAAGCCUCUAAGCAUCAGGUAACAUCAAAUCGUACCCCAAACCGACACAGGUGGUCAGGUAGAGAAUACCAAGGCGCUUGAGAGAACUCGGGUGAAGGAACUAGGCAAAAUGGUGCCGUAACUUCGGGAGAAGGCACGCUGAUAUGUAGGUGAAGUCCCUUGCGGAUGGAGCUGAAAUCAGUCGAAGAUACCAGCUGGCUGCAACUGUUUAUUAAAAACACAGCACUGUGCAAACACGAAAGUGGACGUAUACGGUGUGACGCCUGCCCGGUGCCGGAAGGUUAAUUGAUGGGGUCAGCGCAAGCGAAGCUCUUGAUCGAAGCCCCGGUAAACGGCGGCCGUAACUAUAACGGUCCUAAGGUAGCGAAAUUCCUUGUCGGGUAAGUUCCGACCUGCACGAAUGGCGUAAUGAUGGCCAGGCUGUCUCCACCCGAGACUCAGUGAAAUUGAACUCGCUGUGAAGAUGCAGUGUACCCGCGGCAAGACGGAAAGACCCCGUGAACCUUUACUAUAGCUUGACACUGAACAUUGAGCCUUGAUGUGUAGGAUAGGUGGGAGGCUU
rnacentral:rRNA from 1 species